rnacentral:rRNA from 1 species
CGCGUAGGCGGCCACCGCAAGUCGACUGUGAAAUCUCCGGGCUUAACCCGGAAAGGUCAGCCGAUACUGCGGGGCUAGAGUGCAGAAGGGGCAACUGGAAUUCUCGGUGUAGCGGUGAAAUGCGUAGAUAUCGAGAGGAACACCUGCGGCGAAGGCGGGUUGCUGGGCUGACACUGACGCUGAGGCGCGAAAGCUAGGGGAGCGAACG